GACGAACGCUGGCGGCGUGCCUAAUACAUGCAAGUAGAACGCUGAAGGAGGAGCUUGCUUCUCUGGAUGAGUUGCGAGCGGGUGAGUAACGCGUAGGUAACCUGCCUGGUAGCGGGGGAUAACUAUUGGAAACGAUAGCUAAUACCGCAUAAGAGUAGAUGUUGCAUGACAUUUGCUUAAAAGGUGCAAUUGCAUCACUACCAGAUGGACCUGCGUUGUAUUAGCUAGUUGGUGGGGUAACGGCGUACCAAGGCGACGAUACAUAGCCGACCUGAGAGGGUGAUCGGCCACACUGGGACUGAGACACGGCCCAGACUCCUACGGGAGGCAGCAGUAGGGAAUCUUCGGCAAUGGACGGAAGUCUGACCGAGCAACGCCGCGGGAGUGAAGAAGGUUUUCGGAUCGUAAAGCUCUGUUGUAAGAGAAGAACGAGUGUGAGAGUGGAAAGUUCACACUGUGACGGUAUCUUACCAGAAAGAGACGGCUAACUACGUG
rnacentral:rRNA from 1 species